UUUUUACUUAAUGAAUUUUAUUACAUUUACAGGUGUACAACAAUCAUCACAACCAAGCCCUACAGCAUGUCCAAGGAAUCCCUCCUCUGUCCCCCUUGGCAACCACUGAUUUCUGUCCCAAAAGUUUCCCAUUUUCCAUGAUAUCAUAGUAAUGGAAUCAUAUAAUAUGUAUGAUUUUGAAUCUUUUGAGCCUGGCUUCUUUUAGCUAGCAAAAUGUAUUUCUUACGCAUCCAUGUUGUCAUGUGUAUCAACAGUUUACUCAUUUAUAUUCCAGAGAAGUAUUGCGUUGUGUGGAUGUAGCUCAGUUUGUUUAUCCAUUAUUUAGCUAAUGGACAUUUGGGUUGUUUCCAGUUUUUGAUAAUUAUAGAUAAAGCUACUAUAAACAUUUGUGUACAGAUGUUUGUUUAAAGACAUAGCUUUCAUUUCUUUUGGGUAAAUGCCUAAGAAUGGAAUUGCUGGAUUAUAUGGUAAGUUUAUAGUCAACCUUAUAAGAAACCGCCAAACUGUAUGUAAUGACACUUCCUCUCCUUCAGUUUUCUUUUUCAUUUUACCCAAAAAUAUUUCAAAAUUUUAUAUACUUCUCUAUAGCUCCAGUGUCUGAAAUGAAUGUCAAAGGAUAUCACUGUUGUAAAAACUGUGAGUAGAUUUACGAAGUUCCUUCGUCCAGGUAUAUGCUAUGUUCGCUGCUCCCCUUUCAAAUAAAUGAUCAAGUUCUGCGAUCAGCUUCCUUUAUGUCAUUACAGUUUUUUCCCACUAGAUGGCAACUGCUCAUUGUUUGGAACUGCCAUGUAGCUAAAAAGAAGAAAACAGUGUAUAAUAAAAGAAGAGACAGGCUAUAAAUUGUGAAGUGCUUUACUCCAUAAUUGCGUAAAAAAAAAAAAAAAAGAAAAAACUACUUCAUUGACUGCCAAGUCAGAGCUCAUCAUAACCUAAUGUGUGUGCUUUCUAAAGCUUUUCAAUCUAAGUUUGGAACUACCAAAUGUGGAUGGAACACAGCAUAUAAAAAAUGCAAAACAAGGUGUCUUUUGAACAUAAAUCAGUGGAAUAGAGCAAGAAAAUACCUUGCAGCAAAUACCACUCAUAAACUUGAACUAAUUUCUUUGAUACACAAAAAUUUAUAAGUUUUAAGAUACCACAUUGAUUCAUUUUCUAAAAUAGCUGUAGGUAAACUGAAAAGUUAGUUGUUUUUUUUUUUUAAUGUUUGUUUGUUGCUGUUAUCUUGGCAUCAAAUAGGACCCUUCUCUGAAUUAAUUUUAUUCAUUAGUCAAAUAUUUACUAAGUUCUUCUUAUGUCUCAAGCUUUGUGCUAGGCAUUAGUAAUACUAAGAGGAAAAAGACUUAAUCUGGGAGGAGGAUGAUGAUGAUGAAGAAAGCAAUAGCAGUAAUAGUUAUGACUAUUUAUGGCAUUUAAACAGUCCAGUUAUAUACCAGAACUUAUUCUAAGAUGUUUAUAAACAUUAUUCUACAUAAUCCUUAUUACCACAGGCUUGUGAGACACUGUCCCUAUUUUACAGAUGUGGAGACUGAGGCUCUGUGCCAAGAGGUAACCUCAGUUGAGACAAAAAUGAUUUCAAGUCGUAUUUAGGUAAAGUGUGGGCUGGAGAUGUGAUUUGAGAAUCCGUCUUUGCAGCUGUAUGACAAUGGAAGCAAACCAGGUAUUUCUAUGUCCUCAGUUUCAGACAUUUCAUAGCUGAGAGCCUUCAAGUUUCCCUCACAGUAUGAUGGUGGUCACAGGGCAGAGAUGGCAGCAUGGAGGGUCUAAGGCAAAGGCUAGAUGCAGGACAGAUGGAGGAUGCAAGGGACAGACCUGAAGGACCAGUCAGAGUCAAGAUGGAGCCAAUUCUUCAAGCUUCAUUCAUACCAGAAGAAGAUUCUAGGAAAGUCACCAGACACGAUCUCCAGCUGUGGAUAUCUGCAUGAUUCGUGGAGACCAGGACAAGGAAGACUCCCAUGGCUACCAGCAAAGCCCCAGAGAUCACAGACACUCACAGGAGGUGAUUUUGCUUGCUCCCAUUACCAUGAAAUAUAAACUUGCUCCCACCCCAGAUACCGUAUUCAGGAGGAUCAGGAGGGAAAGAGAAAAAGGUUUAAGAAGAAAGAAAUACAAUUUGGCUUGACAUUUGUCCAAAUGAUGUUUCUUUAAAUAUAUAAGCAAAGACAUUAAGUUCUUAGCCUUUUGGUAAGAUGACUUUGAGGACCUGUUAAAAGUCAUGACACUUACUUCUACCAGCCCACACCCCACUCCAAACAGACACACACAAACACAUACACACAAAUAAAUUAAAAUUUUUCCAUAUAUAUCCACAGCAUUUAGAGAAUAAUGGAGGUUCAUUUAUCAACUCUCUGAAGAUCCAUGGAUUGCAGGUUAAGAAAUCCUAGUGGUGGACAUGGCGCUAGACUUGACUUUUCACUCAGUCAUUUAUCAUUCAUAUGAACUUGGAUAAAUCAACCCCUCUCAGAAUUUCAGGUUUCUUAUUGUGUUUGUUAAAUAACCAUUAAAUGGUGGGAAUAGAAUAGAGAUGGCUAUGUAACUUUUAAAAAUUGCACCUAUAUAAAAUUCUAUAAUAUAUUAACCUACUUAGAGUCCUCUGUGGUCCUAUAGAUUUAUUUCAGAUUUGUUAUCAAUGACUUCUAAUUAUCCUCUUAAGAGUCUGCCCCUUUUUCUCCAUCUCACCAGCAUCAGCAUAGCUCUGGGGCAGUCCCCAUAUUCACCUAUGAGGAGCUGUGGUAGCAUUCCAGGUUAUCUUCCUGUUUCAAUCCUUGCUCCUUCUUAUUCAUUAAACACGCUACUCCCAACUCACCACUUCUUCCUAUAAUUCUCCUGCUCAAAACUAUACUAAAGCUCUCCAUUCCAUUAGAGAUCACAUUUAAAACCUA
rnacentral:lncRNA from 1 species